rnacentral:rRNA from 1 species
AACGAUGAAUGCUAGGUGUUGGGAGUCAAAUCUCGGUGCCGAAGUUAACACAUUAAGCAUUCCGCCUGGGGAGUACGGUGGCAACACUGAAACUCAAAGGAAUUGACGGGGACCCGCACAAGCAGCGGAGCAUGUGGUUUAAUUCGAAGCAACGCGAAGAACCUUACCAAGGCUUGACAUAUAGUUGAGUUAUUGAGAAAUUGAUAAGUCCCUCGGGACAGCUAUACAGGUGGUGCAUGGCUGUCGUCAG